rnacentral:rRNA from 1 species
CAAGGCGCAGCCUGAUGCAGCCAUGCCGCGUGGUGUGAAGAAGGCCUUCGGGGUUGUAAAGCACUUUCAGUCAGGAGGAAAGGGUGUGAGUUAAUACCUCACAGCUGUGACGUUACUGACAGAAGAAGCACCGGCUAACUCCGUGCCAGCAGCCGCGGUAAUACGA